rnacentral:rRNA from 1 species
GAUGAACGCUAGCGGGAGGCCUAACACAUGCAAGCCGAGCGGUAUUUGUCCUUCGGGACAGAGAGAGCGGCGUACGGGUGCGGAACACGUGUGCAACCUGCCUUUAUCUGGGGGAUAGCCUUUCGAAAGGAAGAUUAAUACCCCAUAAUAUAUCGAAUGGCAUCAUUCGAUAUUGAAAACUCCGGUGGAUAGAGAUGGGCACGCGCAAGAUUAGAUAGUUGGUGAGGUAACGGCUCACCAAGUCAGUGAUCUUUAGGGGGCCUGAGAGGGUGAUCCCCCACACUGGUACUGAGACACGGACCAGACUCCUACGGGAGGCAGCAGUGAGGAAUAUUGGACAAUGGGUGAGAGCCUGAUCCAGCCAUCCCGCGUGAAGGACUAAGGCCCUAUGGGUAGUAAACUUCUUUUAUACUGGGAUAAACCUACUUACGUGUAAGUAGCUGAAGGUACAGUAUGAAUAAGCACCGGCUAACUCCGUG